rnacentral:rRNA from 1 species
ACGCUCGACACCUGGAGGCAGCAGUGGGGAAUAUUGCACAAUGGGGGAAACCCUGAUGCAGCGACGCCGCGUGAGUGAAGAAGUAUUUCGGUAUGUAAAGCUCUAUCAGCAGGGAAGAAAAUGACGGUACCUGAGUAAGAAGCCCCGGCUAACUACGUGCCAACAGCCGCGGUAAUCUGAGCGGGCUGGCAAGGC